rnacentral:tRNA from 1 species
GCCCGGGUGGUGGAACGGUAGACACUGGGGACUUAAAAUCCCUUGCCCGCAAGGGCGUGCGGGUUCGAGUCCCGCCCCGGGCACCA